rnacentral:rRNA from 1 species
UUUAUUCGAGCACGCGAAGAACCUUUACCAACUCUUGACAUCCCCCUGAACCGGUACAGAGAUGUAUCUUCCCCUUCGGGGGCAGGGGUGACAGGUGGUGCAUGGUUGUCGUCAGCUCGUGUCGUGAGAUGUUGGGUUAAGUCCCGCAACGAGCGCAACCCUUGUCCUUAGUUGCCAGCAUUUGGUUGGGCACUCUAGGGAGACUGCCGGUGACAAACCGGAGGAAGGUGGGGAUGACGUCAAAUCAUCAUGCCCCUUAUGAGUUGGGCUACACACGUGCUACAAUGGACGGUACAAAGGGCAGCGAAGCCGCGAGGUGGAGCCAAUCCCAGAAAGCCGUUCUCAGUUCGGAUUGCAGGCUGCAACUCGCCUGCAUGAAGUCGGAAUCGCUAGUAAUCGCAGGUCAGCAUACUGCGGUGAAUACGUUCCCGGGUCUUGUACCNCCCCNCCCGUCAAA